rnacentral:rRNA from 1 species
GACGAACGCUGGCGGCGUGCUUAACACAUGCAAGUCGAACGGAAAGGCCCUGCUUUUGUGGGUGCUCGAGUGGCGAACGGGUGAGUAACACGUGAGUAACCUGCCCUUGACUUUGGGAUAACUUCAUGAAACUGGGGCUAAUACCGGAUAGGAGCUCCUGCUGCAUGGUGGGGGUUGGAAAGUUUCGGCGGUUGGGGAUGGACUCGCGGCUUAUCAGCUUGUUGGUGGGGUAGUGGCUUACCAAGGCUUUGACGGGUAGCCGGCCUGAGAGGGUGACCGGCCACAUUGGGACUGAGAUACGGCCCAGACUCCUACGGGAGGCAGCAGUGGGGAAUAUUGCACAAUGGGCGGAAGCCUGAUGCAGCAACGCCGCGUGCGGGAUGACGGCCUUCGGGUUGUAAACCGCUUUCGCCUGUGACGAAGCGUGAGUGACGGUAAUGGGUAAAGAAGCACCGGCUAACUACGUG